rnacentral:rRNA from 1 species
UUGGAGGGCAAGUCUGGUGCCAGCAGCCGCGGUAAUUCCAGCUCCAAUAGCGUAUAUUAAAGUUGUUGCAGUUAAAAAGCUCGUAGUUGAAUUUCGGGAUCGAUGGGUCGGUCAUGCCCUCGGUAUGUACUGAUCCCAUUGGUUCUCACCUUCUAAGGAACCAUGAUGUCAUUCGGUUGAUGUUGUGGGGAAUUAGGACUGUUACCUUGAAAAAAUUAGAGUGUUUAAAGCAGGCCAACGCUUGAAUACAUUAGCAUGGAAUAAUGAAAUAGGACAUCGCAUUCUAUUUUGUUGGUUUCUAGGAUCGAUGUAAUGAUUAAUAGGGAUAGUUGGGGGCAUUAGUAUUCAAUUGUCAGAGGUGAAAUUCUUGGAUUUAUUGAAGACUAACUACUGCGAAAGCAUUUGCCAAGGAUGUUUUCAUUAAUCAAGAACGAAAGUUAGGGGAUCGAAGACGAUCAGAUACCGUCGUAGUCUUAACCAUAAACUAUGCCGACUAGGGAUCGGAUGAUGCUUAUUUUUUAAUGACUCAUUCGGCGCCUUACGGGAAAC